rnacentral:rRNA from 1 species
UACGUAGGGUGCGAGCGUUAAUCGGAAUUACUGGGCGUAAAGCGUGCGCAGGCGGUUUUGUAAGCCAGAUGUGAAAGCCCCGGGCUUAACCUGGGAAUGGCAUUUGGGACUGCAAGGCUUGAGUGCGGCAGAGGAGACUGGAAUUCCUGGUGUAGCAGUGAAAUGCGUAGAUAUCUGGAGGAACACCGGUGGCGAAGGCGGCAUCCUGGACCAACACUGACACUGAGGAGCGAAAGCCAGGGGAGCAAACGGG